rnacentral:rRNA from 1 species
GAUGAACGCUGGCGGCGUGCCUAACACAUGCAAGUCGAGCGAUUCUCUUCGGAGAAGAGCGGCGGACGGGUGAGUAACGCGUGGGUAACCUGCCCUGUACACACGGAUAACAUACCGAAAGGUAUGCUAAUACGAGAUAAUAUGCUUUUAUCGCAUGGUAGAAGUAUCAAAGCUUUUGCGGUACAGGAUGGACCCGCGUCUGAUUAGCUAGUUGGUAAGGUAACGGCUUACCAAGGCGACGAUCAGUAGCCGAGCUGAGAGGGUGAUCGGCCACAUUGGAACUGAGACACGGUCCAAACUCCUACGGGAGGCAGCAGUGGGGAAUAUUGCACACUGGGCGAAAGCCUGAUGCAGCAACGCCGCGUGAGCGAUGAAGGCCUUCGGGUCGUAAAGCUCCGUCCUCAAGAAAGAUAAUGACGGUACUUGAGGAGGAAGCCCCGGCUAACUACGUGCCAGCCGCCGCAGUAA